AUGCACGCUGGCGGCGUGCCUAAUACAUGCCAGUCGAGCGCACAGACGAGGAGCUUGCUCCUCUGACGUUAGCGGCGGACGGGUGAGUAACACGUGGAUAACCUACCUAUAAGACUGGGAUAACUUCGGGAAACCGGAGCUAAUACCGGAUAAUAUAUUGAACCGCAUGGUUCCAUAGUGAAAGACGGUUUUGCUGUCACUUAUAGAUGGAUCCGCGCCGCAUUAGCUAGUUGGUAAGGUAACGGCUUACCAAGGCGACGAUGCGUAGCCGACCUGAGAGGGUGAUCGGCCACACUGGAACUGAGACACGGUCCAGACUCCUACGGGAGGCAGCAGUAGGGAAUCUUCCGCAAUGGGCGAAAGCCUGACGGAGCAACGCCGCGUGAGUGAUGAAGGUCUUCGGAUCGUAAAACUCUGUUAUUAGGGAAGAACAAAUGUGUAAGUAACUAUGCACGUCUUGACGGUACCUAAUCAGAAAGCCACGGCUAACUACGUG
rnacentral:rRNA from 1 species